rnacentral:rRNA from 2 species
AAACCAACAGGGAUUGCCCCAGUAACGGCGAGUGAAGCGGCAACAGCUCAAAUUUGAAAUCUGGCUCUCGGGCCCGAGUUGUAAUUUGUAGAGGAUGCUUUUGGUGAGGUGCCUUCCGAGUUCCCUGGAACGGGACGCCAUAGAGGGUGAGAGCCCCGUCUGGUUGGACGCCGAACCUCUGUAAAGCUCCUUCGACGAGUCGAGUAGUUUGGGAAUGCUGCUCUAAAUGGGAGGUAUAUGUCUUCUAAAGCUAAAUACCGGCCAGAGACCGAUAGCGCACAAGUAGAGUGAUCGAAAGAUGAAAAGAACUUUGAAAAGAGAGUUAAACAGUACGUGAAAUUGUUGAAAGGGAAGCGCUUGUGACCAGACUUGGGCUUGGUUGAUCAUCCGGGGUUCUCCCCGGUGCACUCUUCCGGCCUAGGCCAGCAUCAGUUCGCCCUGGGGGAUAAAGGCUUCGGGAACGUGGCUCUCUCCGGGGAGUGUUAUAGCCCGCUGCGUAAUACCCUGUGGCGGACUGAGGUUCGCGCAUUCGCAAGGAUGCUGGCGUAAUGGUCAUCAGUGAC